rnacentral:rRNA from 1 species
ACUCCUACGGGAGGCAGCAGUGGGGAAUAUUGCGCAAUGGGCGAAAGCCUGACGCAGCGACGCCGCGUGGGGGAUGAAGGCCUUCGGGUUGUAAACCCCUUUCAGCAGGGACGAAGCGAAAGUGACGGUACCUGCAGAAGAAGCGCCGGCUAACUACGUGCCAGCAGCCGCGGUAACACGUAGGGCGCAAGCGUUGUCCGGAAUUAUUGGGCGUAAAGAGCUCGUAGGCGGUCUGUUGCGUCCGCUGUGAAAUCUCGGGGCUUAACCCCGAGCCUGCAGUGGAUACGGGCAGACUAGAGGUAGGUAGGGGAGAAUGGAAUUCCCGGUGUAGCGGUGAAAUGCGCAGAUAUCGGGAGGAACACCGGUGGCGAAGGCGGUUCUCUGGGCCUUACCUGACGCUGAGGAGCGAAAGCGUGGGGAGCAAACAGGAUUAGAUACCCUGGUAGUCCACGCUGUAAACGUUGGGCGCUAGGUGUGGGAUCA